GGGGACGAUAUUGGAUUCGACGGGCAAGAGAAGGGUGUAAACAGCAAUCCGGGAUUCCGGCUACCCCGUGAUUAACCGGAAAGCACUAUAAGUGCCGAUAAUAAUUACGCAUUAGCAGCUUAAUUGACUGCUACGCUUCCUAUUUCUCUAAUUUACCGGGGAUUUUUGAAGCGCCAAUUUUAAGGUAGAUUGGGUCAAUAUUUUGUCUGUGGGUAUUGAUUCAUAUUUAGCAGGCUGGUUUUAUAAACGGCUCGUUACUUUAUCGCUUAUAAAAUGAGACCUAAAAAAGUAACUAUGAUUGUAGACGUUUGCAUUGGUCCUUGUCCGGACCCGGGUUCAACUCCCGGCGUCUCCACUU
rnacentral:tmRNA from 1 species